rnacentral:rRNA from 1 species
GUGGGCAAUCUGCCCUAAAGACUGGGAUACCACUUGGAAACAGGUGCUAAUACCGGAUAACAACAUGAAUCGCAUGAUUCAAGUUUGAAAGGCGGCGUAAGCUGUCACUUUAGGAUGAGCCCGCGGCGCAUUAGCUAGUUGGUGGGGUAAAGGCCUACCAAGGCAAUGAUGCGUAGCCGAGUUGAGAGACUGAUCGGCCACAUUGGGACUGAGACACGGCCCAAACUCCUACGGGAGGCAGCAGUAGGGAAUCUUCCACAAUGGACGCAAGUCUGAUGGAGCAACGCCGCGUGAGUGAAGAAGGUUUUCGGAUCGUAAAGCUCUGUUGUUGGUGAAGAAGGAUAGAGGCAGUAACUGGUCUUUAUUUGACGGUAAUCAACCAGAAAGUCACGGCUAACUACGUGCCAGCAGCCGCGGUAAUACGUAGGUGGCAAGCGUUGUCCGGAUUUAUUGGGCGUAAAGCGAGCGCAGGCGGAAUGAUAAGUCUGAUGUGAAAGCCCACGGCUCAACCGUGGAACUGCAUCGGAAACUGUCAUUCUUGAGUGCAGAAGAGGAGAGUGGAAUUCCAUGUGUAGCGGUGGAAUGCGUAGAUAUAUGGAAGAACACCAGUGGCGAAGGCGGCUCUCUGGUCUGCAACUGACGCUGAGGCUCGAAAGCAUGGGUAGCGAACAGGAUUAGAUACCCUGGUAGUCCAUGCCGUAGACGAUGAGCGCUAGGUGUU